GAUGAACGCUGGCGGCGUGCCUAAUACAUGCAAGUCGAACGAUGAACCGGGUGCUUGCACUCGGGGAUUAGUGGCGAACGGGUGAGUAACACGUGAGCAACCUGCCCCUGACUCUGGGAUAAGCGCUGGAAACGGCGUCUAAUACUGGAUAUGUCCCGUCACCGCAUGGUGUGCGGGUGGAAAGAUUUUUCGGUUGGGGAUGGGCUCGCGGCCGAUCAGCUUGUUGGUGAGGUAAUGGCUCACCAAGGCGUCGACGGGUAGCCGGCCUGAGAGGGUGACCGGCCACACUGGGACUGAGCCACGGCCCAGACUCCUACGGGAGGCAGCAGUGGGGAAUAUUGCACAAUGGGGGGAGGACUGAUGCAGCAACGCCGCGUGAGGGAUGACGGCCUUCGGGUUGUAAACCUCUUUUAGCAGGGAAGAAGCGAGAGUGACGGUACCUGCAGAAAAAGCACCGGCUAACUACGUGCCAGCCGCCGCCGUAA
rnacentral:rRNA from 1 species